rnacentral:lncRNA from 1 species
AUUGUUGAAGAGCAAUUAAUGGGUUGGGAAGAUUAGACGUUGAGUUCCCUCCGCUUUGCUUCCAAGUUAGAAAAGCUGUAAGUUUUUGUGGACCAUGUAGUAUUUAUUCUUCAUUUUUCUUGCCCAAGCUUGAUGAACUACUAUUCAAAGGAAACAUGGCCAUCCACUAACUGUCAACGAUUUUUUUUUUUUUACUUUUCUUAUUCUUUUAACAAUAUGAUGAAAUUAGCAACUCAUUUUUUUCACAGAUUUUAUAAGUAUAUGUUUAUAAUUAAGGAAAUGCAGCGCACCUACAAUCACACAGAUUAUCAAGUAUCUUUAGUCAAAUUAUUAUUAUGUUCCCAUUCAAAAGUAAGCUAAAACAUUACUAGCUAGUUAAAUAGGGGUGAAGGUAGAAUUUUUUUUUUUUUGGAGUCCAAAUUAAAUUUUAAUUUUUAUGAUAGUAAAAAUAUAAUUUUAUUAUUUAAAUAAUCUAUAUUUUUAUAAUUUUUAAAUAAUUAAAUUAAAUUUUUAUCAUUUUUAAAAAUAUUAAAAUAAAAUUUUAUCUUUAAUAAUUUAAAAUUUUAAAAAAAAUUUAAAAAAAAAACUAAAUGAAAUAUUUUCUAUGUUUGAGUACUACCAACCCCUGGCUACGCUUAAGCUACCUAGUUGUGGAUUUUGAUUUAUUAUCUAAUUCAAGAGAGGUUAAUAUGUCCCCUUGCAUUACUUCUUUGACUUCUUCAAUGAAAACUUUUAUAACUAUUUCCUCAAGAGAUUAAGUUAUUGUUAAAAUUCUUUAUUUUUUACUAUAUUAAAAAAACCUUUUUUAAAAUUUAAUUUAUUAUUUUAAAAUUAAUUUUACAUUUUAAUGGAAAACACAAAUUUUAGAAGCAAAAAUCAUUCUCUUUAUUUCUUCUAUUUGAACUUCAACCAAUACUUUGUAGUAAAGAGUUUUGUAUGUUGAGGGACGAAACUUCUUUUGAGAGUAAAUUUAAAUUAUAAAUUUUUAAAAGGCUCAAAUUAUAACUUUGUCAUUGUGUCGAGCAAUCGUAGGGGAAUGAGUGUCAAGUACAGCACUUAGUUACGAGGAUGUCUCGAAACUUAAAGAGUUUGUGGGGACAAGGUUUGCAUAUGAUGUGGACAAUUUCUUGUGGAGGAUGAGAAACUACUUCUGUACAAAGCCAAAUUUAGCCCGGGGCCCAACAACUCAAAAUUUUAGCCCAAUAACAGACCCAAAAAUAAACCCAACUAGCCUAGCCCAUUACAGCAACCUGCCCAAAAACAAUUCCCAAACUAAACCCACCAACUACCAGCCCAAACCCCAGCCCAAUUACAAUUAACCAGACCCAAACCCAAUUAACCCACUAACCCGAGGCCCAAUUCAACUAAGGCCCAAUUUCCCCAAAAAAAAUCAGGCUAGGGUUUCAGAAAAGAAACCCUAGCGCCGUACCUAGGCACUGCCGCCCCUUGACUUUUGGCCUUCUGACACCGCCACCAUCCCAUCGGCGCCGCCCGCAGUCACGUCACCACCACCACUUGCGCCGUCACCUGCAAGGGAGAAACAAAACAAAGAAACAGAUAGCAAAGAACAAAAGCAGUAGAGAAUCGGCUAUAAAAGCCGAAUAUGUAACCUUCUUUUUUCUUCUUCUGGCUACUUUUGUAUCAAAAAAAAGGAUUCAAUCGAAAAAUAAAAAAACAGAUUCAAGGUUUUUUUUUCUUCUUUUCAGUUUGGAAGAUUUUAUUUUUAUUUUGUUCUCUUUUAUUUUCGUUUACAUUUAUAUAAAUAAAUAUAGUACAAUAAGAAAAAGAGGGUUACCUUUCUUUUAACACCGCGCCGGAGGAGGGGAAGUCGAGUGGUUUCGCUUCCAUUUUUGCGUUUUUUAUUCGUCUUUCGCAAGUUUCGGCCUUAGAUCCACGGCCUAGAAGCUACCGGCUUCGAAAAGGAGCCGAAAAGGCCCUAUUUUGCGCGCCUCCGACCACCGCGCGUGGCGGGGCUUACGGUGGCUCAUAUGGCCGGACCAUGGCCGGACGAAAAAGGGGGGAGAGGUUUUUUUUUCAGUUCUUU